UUUUUAUUUAUUUAUUUAUUCUUAAUGUACACCAAAAUACAGACACAUAUAAAGAAAGAUACAAUACAAGAUGAAAAAAUCAAUAAUAAAUAGAUAAAAACUACGAUAUGAUAGACUUACACGAUUAUUAAAGAAAAAAAAAAAAAAACCAUAUAAAUAAGUAAAUAUUUUAGUGUAUACUAUAUAAUAUACAUAUACACACACAUAAACAUACAUACACACAUACAUACAUACACAUAUAAAAAUAUAUACAUAUAAACACACACACAUAAAUAUAUACAUAUAUGUACACUUAAAGUAAACUACAAAUCGCGACAGUUAAUACUUAAUGAGCUACAUAUAAUGCUUUUUAAGGCGUUGCUUGAAGCAAGCUUGUGUUGGAGCUUGUUUUAUUGAAAGCGGAAGAGAGUUCCACAGACGGGCAGCAUUAACAGUAAAUGAAUUGGAGUAGAAGGAGGUAGAAUGGGGAGGAAUUUUCAUCAGAAGCAAAUUGGAUUCAGAUCUAAGGGACCGCUCAUGGGAAUCGCAAAGAAACGUAAACCGUUCUUUAAGGUAAUGAGGGGCAUUAGGAUUAAAAAGAACACAGUAGAGUAGAGUAAGUAUAUGUGUAUUCCUGCGAAGGCGGAUUGGGAGCCACUUGAGUUUACUGCGAAAAUCGGAGACGUGGUCAUAUUUGCGAAGACCAAAUAUGAACCUUAUACAGAGAUUUUGAAGGCGCUCAAGCUUAUUUAGUUGCUCCUCUUUGAGAUCCAGAAAACACGUAUCUGCAUAGUCAAGGAUUGGUAAAAGUAGUGAUUGUGCCAGCGCAAUUUUGGUAGGCAAGGGAAGAAAGUACUGGAGUCGACGGAGUGAACCGACGGCUGCAAACAAUUUCCGGCUUAGCUCAGUUAAUUGAGGUGACCAAGAGAGAUGACGAUCGAAAGUUAUUCCUAGAUUUUUCACUUUAUCACUGACGUUCAAAACAACUUU
rnacentral:misc_RNA from 1 species